AUGCUGUGCCAGCCAAAAGGGAACCAUAGUCAAGGAUUGAAGUCCAUCCGAGCUGCUGGCCUGAGUCUUCCCAGGUGUCACUGGGGCUGCUGGCCCGGGGACCACUCACUGAGGCCCAAGAGCAGGAUCCCAGCCCCACCUGAGGCUCGUCAACCUGCCAGUUUCCUUUGUCUCACACCCUGCACCGAAUCACAAGGCUGCCAGCACCUGAGAUGCCACAUCCAGACUCAAGCAGGGCAAGGCACAUCACCUAGAAAUACUCGGAUACUGAGGUGCCUCCUAUUGGGUAAGUCUGCUUUACUGUAUCAAUACUGGGUAGCACGAGGUAGUAUUUUUGGAAUUUUGUGCAAGGAAGAAAGAUAUGUAUGUCUGUGUGAUUCUCUGAGAAUGGUGGCCCCUGGAUUGUGUAAGAGAUUGCUCCUGUCUUCAAGCAAGCUUUUUCUUCCAUGGCCUCUCUGCUCCCUUUGGGGAACUCCUUCCCCUCUAGGAUCUCAGGGAGGUUGCCAAUCAAGGUGUCUUAUUGUAUAA
rnacentral:lncRNA from 1 species